GGGCCGUUAGCUCAGUUGGCAGAGCACCUGACUUUUAAUCAGGGUGUCACAGGUUCGAGACCUGUACGGCCUAC
rnacentral:tRNA from 1 species